CCUACGGGAGGCAGCAGUGGGGAAUAUUGCGCAAUGGGCGAAAGCCUGACGCAGCGACGCCGCGUGAGGGAUGAAGGUCUUCGGAUCGUAAACCCCUGUCAGCAGGGAAGAACGGUCACUGUGCUAAUCAGCAGUGAAUUGACGGUACCUGCAAAGGAAGCACCGGCUCACUCCGUGCCAGCAGCCGCGGUAAUACGGGGGGUGCGAGCGUUAAUCGGAAGUACUGGGCGUAAAGCGCUCGUAGGCGGUAUGUCAAGUCAAGGGUGAAAUCCCCGAGCUCAACGUGGGAACUGCCUUUGAAACUGGCAAACUGGAGUGUGUGAGAGGAUAGUGGAAUUCCAGGUGUAGGAGUGAAAGCCGUAGAUAUCGGGCAGAACAUCAGUGGCGAAGGCGACUAUCUGGCACAUAACUGACGCUGAGGAGCGAAAGCGUAGGUAGCAAACAGGAUUAGAUACCCGAGUAGUC
rnacentral:rRNA from 1 species